rnacentral:rRNA from 1 species
AUUGAACGCUGGCGGCAGGCCUAACACAUGCAAGUCGAGCGGAUGAAGGGAGCUUGCUCCUGGAUUCCGCGGCGGACGGGUGAGUAAUGCCUAGGAAUCUGCCUUGUAGUGGGGGAUAACGUCCGGAAACGGGCGCUAAUACCGCAUACGUCCUGAGGUAGAAAGUGGGGGUUCUUCGGACCUCACGCUAUCAGAUGAGCCUAGGUCGGAUUAGCUAGUUGGUGGGGUAAAGGCCUACCAAGGCGACGAUCCGUAACUGGUCUGAGAGGAUGAUCAGUCACACUGGAACUGAGACACGGUCCAGACCCCUACGGGAGGCAGCAGUGGGGAAUAUUGGACAAUGGGCGAAAGCCUGAUCCAGCCAUGCCGCGUGUGUGAAGAAGGUCUUCGGAUUGUAAAGCACUUUAAGUUGGGAGGAAGGGCAGUAAGUUAAUACCUUGCUGUUUUGACGGUACCAACAGAAUAAGCAACGGCUAACUUCGUG